ACGUCUGCAUACAUCAUAUGUCAAAGGGAAUACAGUUAUUUUAGCUUAAAAGGUAUCAAAUCCUGUAUAUAUGCUUAUUUUCGUGAGAAUGGUUUGAGCCACAACCCCUCAACUAAAAUGAACCCUACCUGUUGAUAUUUACAUAACAAUCAGUCGCUCACCGCAGUACGAGUUGUCUUCCAGAUUAGUCACUUGGCAGUUGGACAUCGUAAAGUGAAGACGCAGGAUAUGCACGGCAAAAUUGCGAGUUCAAGGUUUUAUUAGGCGUACAAGAAAAUAUAUCUAAUGAAUGGCGUGAGACGUAAGCCGUUUUCUGCUGUGGAUGGAGAAGCCUUCAAAAUUUUUUUCAGAUGCACCACAUUUUCCGAUUAACUGCAAUAAACGGAACCUGCAAGUUACCCAGCCUUUUGUUCGGAUUCCGGAACCCGACACCAUUAUUAUCUUAAAAUCGAAUAAACUCAUUUACAAUGUCUUUGGUUUUUCAUUUUGAUAUGAAGUAGUUAAAACGGUAAUGAUAAUAAGGGGAAUGAUUGAUCUGUUAGCCAUGUAACAAGUUGUCAAGCGCUCUCAAAAUUUUCUGUAAAGUUUAAUAUAUCAAUAUUGCUCUU